rnacentral:rRNA from 1 species
AGAUACCCUAUUAUUUUAAAUGUAGUUUUUAAACNUGAAUUAUUAUUAGUUAAGGUCUUUAAAAUUAAAAAAUUUGGCGGUAUUUUAGUCUGUUCAGAGGAACCUGUUCUUUAAUUGAUGGUCCACGAUAAUUUUUACUUUAAUUUUAAGUUUGCAUAUCGUCGUUUAUGAAAAUUUUAUUAGAGUUUUAAUUUUUUUGAUUUUUUAUUUGGAAGUAGUUCAGAUCAAGGUGUAGUUUAUGUUAAAGAUGGAAUGGGUUACAUUAUAUUUAUAUGUGGUUUUCUUAUUUAAAAUUUGGGAUAAAAUGGAUUUGAUAGUAAAUUUCUUGUUUUUGGAUUUUGAUUUAGCUCUAAAAUAUGCACACAUCGCCCG